UACGUAGGGGGCAAGCGUUAUCCGGAUUUACUGGGUGUAAAGGGAGCGUAGACGGCUUUGCAAGCCAGAUGUGAAAGCCCGGGGCUCAACCCCAGGACUGCAUUUGGAACUGUGUGGCUAGAGUGUCGGAGAGGCAGGCGGAAUUCCUAGUGUAGCGGUGAAAUGCGUAGAUAUUAGGAGGAACACCAGUGGCGAAGGCGGCCUGCUGGACGAUGACUGACGUUGAGGCUCGAAAGCGUGGGGAGCAUACAGG
rnacentral:rRNA from 1 species